GAGGUGGGUCCUCCAUGCCCAGGCCCUGUCUCACCCGCUGAGGCAGAGAACGAGGCCAGGAUAAAAGGCUCCAGAGAGACACCUCCACACUCACCUCCCCAGGAGCCCACACCCGCCUGCCCGUGACCACACUCCUGAACACCCUCCUGCCAGGAUGUCCUGCCAGCAGAGCCAGCAGCAGUGCCAGCCCCCUCCCAAGUGCCCCCCCAAGUGCCCUCAAAAGUGCCAGGCCCCCAAGUGCCCCCCAAAGUGCCCCCCUAAGUGCCCUCCAGCCCCUUCCUGCUGCAGCGUCAGCUCCGGGGGCUGCUGCAGCUCUGGGGGUGGGGGCUGCUGUGGCUCCAGCUCUGGGGGUGGGGGCUGCUGUGGCUCCAGCUCUGGGGGCUGCUGCAGCUCUGGGGGUGGGGGCUGCUGCCUGAGCCACCACAGGCCCCGCAGGUCCCACCGCCACAGGCAGAGCUCUGGCUGCUGCAGCCAGCCCUCAGGGGGCUCGGGCUGCUGUGGAGGGGGCAGCAGCCAGCAGUCUGGAGGCUGCUGCUGAAGUGCCCUUGACUUGGUCUUCCUCCAGAGGCUACAGGAAGUGCUGAGAGGCUUAGGGAAAGCUUGGGUCUGGCCAGGAGCAUCUGUCCAGCCUGGUGGGCACAAGCCAAAUUCUUUCUCCUCACAUGCUGGGAACCACCGUCUCCUGUCUGUGCUGUCCACCUGAAGCCCUGGCCCAGUCUCACACGGCAUCUGUCAUUCUGCUCUGUUGGCUGAAUUGAAAUAAUAAAAUCUGAAGUCUGUUCCCAGCUGA